GCCGGGAUAGCUCAGCUGGGAGAGCAACAGACUGAAGCCAGCUGGUUUUCUGGAGGUCCCGUGUUCAAUCCACGGUCCUGGCA